rnacentral:rRNA from 1 species
UACGUAGGGUGCAAGCGUUAAUCGGAAUUACUGGGCGUAAAGAGUGCGUAGGCGGUUUUCUAAGUUUGGUGUGAAAUCUCCCGGCUUAACUGGGAGGGUGCGCCGAAAACUGGAAGGCUUGAGUAUGGGAGAGGUAAGCGGAAUUCCUGGUGUAGCGGUGAAAUGCGUAGAUAUCAGGAGGAACACCUGCGGUGUAGACGGCUUACUGGACCAUAACUGACGCUGAGGCACGAAAGCGUGGGUAGCAAACAGG